rnacentral:snoRNA from 22 species
UCAUAUGAUGAUCAAUUUUUGUAUAAUAUACGCUGGAAAUUACCGGCCGAGACCUUCGGGUUGUUGACGAUAUAAAAUGGCUAUUACUGAUU